rnacentral:snoRNA from 1 species
UGUCGUCGAUGAUGAUGAAUGUCUAAUCCCAGCUCUAUGAGACCUUUUGGAAAGGUCUGGGAAUUGAAUCAUAAUCCAACAUUUAUCUGAGCCCUCUU